GUGAUACAGGCCCUCUAAACCUCUACAAUACAGUAUGUUAGGUAAGUGAUACAGGCCCUCUAAACCUUUACAAUACAGUAUGUUAGGUAAGUGAUACAGGCCCUCUAAACCUUUACAAUACAGUAUGUUAGGUGAGUGAUACAGGCCCUCUAAACCUUUACAAUACAUUAUGUUAGGUAAGUGAUACAGGCCCUCUAACCCUUUACAAUACAGUAUGUUAGGUAAGUGAUACAGGCCCUCUAAACCUCUACAAUACAGUAUGUUAGGUAAGUGAUACAAGCCCUCUAAACCUCUACAAUACAGUAUGUUAGGUAAGUGAUACAGGCCCUCUAAAACUUUACAAUACAGUAUGUUAGGUAUGUGACAAAUGCCCAAUAAACCUUUACAAUACAGUAUGUUAGGUAAGUGAUACAAGCCCUCUAAACCUCUACAAUACAGUAUGUUAGGUAAGUGAUACAGGCCCUCUAACCCUUUACAAUACACUAUGUUAGGUAAGUGAUACAGGCCCUCUAAACCUUU